UGUAAAGCUUUUGCGGUGUGGGGAUAGGGCCCGCGGCCUAUCAGCUUGUUGGUGGGGUAAUGGCCUACCAAGGCGACGACGGGUAGCCGGCCUGAGAGGGUGACCGGCCACACUGGGACUGAGAUACGGCCCAGACUCCUACGGGAGGCAGCAGUGGGGAAUAUUGCACAAUGGGCGCAAGCCUGAUGCAGCGACGCCGCGUGAGGGAUGACGGCCUUCGGGUUGUAAACCUCUUUCAAUAGGGACGAAGCGCAAGUGACGGUACCUAUAGAAGAAGGACCGGCCAACUACGUG
rnacentral:rRNA from 1 species